rnacentral:misc_RNA from 1 species
UCCUGGUUAACCCAGGCAGUCUCGUUAGAGUUCCCGCCUUUACGCGCUGGCAACUAACGAUAAGGGUUGCGCUCGUUGCUGGACUUAACCAAACACCUCACGGCACGAGCUGACGACAGCCAUGCAGCACCUAUAUAAGGACCCUUUCGGGAAACAUAAUCUCUCAUGUCGUCCCCUAUAUUUCGAGCCCAGGUAAGGUUCUUCGCGUUGCAUCGAAUUAAACCACAUGCUCCACUGCUUGUGCGGGCCCCCGUCAAUUCUUUUGAGUUUCACCCUUGCGAGCGUACUCCCCAGGCGGCAUACUUAAUGCGUUAGCUCCGGAACAGAGGGGGUUGAGCCCUCCUACUCCUAGUAUGCAUCGUUUAAGGCAUGGACUAC